rnacentral:rRNA from 1 species
GACGAACGCUGGCGGCGUGCUUAACACAUGCAAGUCGAACGGAAAGGCCCUGCUUUUGUGGGGUGCUCGAGUGGCGAACGGGUGAGUAACACGUGAGUAACCUGCCCUUGACUUUGGGAUAACUUCAGGAAACUGGGGCUACUACCGGAUAGGAGCUCCUGCUGCAUGGUGGGGGUUGGAAAGUUUCGGCGGUUGGGGAUGGACUCGCGGCUUAUCAGCUUGUUGGUGGGGUAGUGGCUUACCAAGGCUUUGACGGGUAGCCGGCCUGAGAGGGUGACCGGCCACAUUGGUACUGAGAUACGGCCCAGACUCCUACGGGAGGCAGCAGUGGGGAAUAUUGCACAAUGGGCGGAAGCCUGAUGCAGCAACGCCGCGUGCGGGAUGACGGCCUUCGGGUUGUAAACCGCUUUCGCCUGUGACGAAGCGUGAGUGACGGUAAUCGGUAAAGAAGCACCGGCUAACUACGUG